rnacentral:rRNA from 1 species
CUAGCGACUUCAGAGUUUGAUCCUGGCUCAGGACAAACGCUGCGGGGUGCAUGAGACAUGCAAGUCGAACGAGGUGCCAACGAGCUUGCUCGAUGGUUACCUAGUGGCGGACGGCUGAGUAACGCGUAGGUGACCUACCCGGAAGUGGGGAAUAACUGCCCGAAAGGGUGGCUAAUACCGCAUGUGGUCGGCGAUUCGAUUCGCCGUCCAAAGGAGAAAUCCGCUUCCGGCGGGGCCUGCGUCCGAUUAGCUAGUUGGUGAGGUAACGGCCCACCAAGGCGACGAUCGGUAGCUGGUCUGAGAGGAUGAUCAGCCAGACUGGGACUGAGAACGGCCCAG